rnacentral:lncRNA from 1 species
AGAAUCCGGGCUUACCUCAAUAGGUUUUGCUUCUUGUUCUUUUGUUUCAAAUUCCACAAAGGCAGAUCCCACUGGGUCUCCGGUAGACUUACAACACGGAACACCUCUACAAACAACAUUGGCACAUUUCCCAAAUGCUCUUCCGGUCCAGCUGAGAUUAACAUGUUUUGGCAACUAGUUUCUAUGAUAAUUUAGAAGCAGUGUUCAAUAUGUAAGGAUUUAAUGACUAUACAGAUUAAACUU